GACGAACGCUGGCGGCGUGCUUAACACAUGCAAGUCGAACGGAAAGGCCUUGCUUUUGUGGGGUGCUCGAGUGGCUAACGGGUGGGUAACACGUGAGUAACCUGCCCUUGCCUUUGGGAUCACUUCAGGAAACUGGGGCUAAUACCGGAUAGGACCUCCUGCUGCAUGGUGGGGGUUGGAAAGUUUCGGCGGUUGGGGAUGGACUCGCGGCUUAUCAGCUUGUUGGUGGGGUAGUGGCUUACCAAGGCUUUGACGGGUAGCCGGCCUGAGAGGCUGACCGGCCACAUUGGGACUGAGAUACGGCCCAGACUCCUACGGGAGGAAUCAGUGGUGAAUAUUGCACAAUGGGCGGAAGCCUGAGGCAGCAACGCCGCGUGCGGGAUGACGGCCUUCGGGUUGUAAACCGCUUUCGCCUGUGACGAAGCGUGAGUGACGGUAAUGGGUAAAGAAGCACCGGCUAACUACGUG
rnacentral:rRNA from 1 species